rnacentral:snRNA from 1 species
AGAUCUGAGGGUGAUACGGCUGUAACAUAGGUCACCCCAUUGUUCGCCAGAAUUGAUUUGGCUGAUCUGGCCGGGUAGAUAGGUGUCCCCUUCCUUCCUCGCUGCUCCAUUUGUGUCCCUCCUAAAGCUGCAUGCUCAGUUGAAGAGGAUGAGAGGACGACCCUCUCUGAUAGAGGAGGACCAUUCUUCUGUCAAAGGCAUACAGGUUAAAGCAGGACUUCCCUGCUAGAACUUCCAAACAAGCUCAGAGAAGUUCUUCCUCGCGUCUGCACGGGUUCAGCACCACGGACAGCGCCCUCGUCGCGCUGUU